GCCCCCGUAGCACAACGGAUUGUGCAGUCCCUUCCUAAGGGAAAGAUUGCAGGUUCAAAUCCUGCCGGGGGUA
rnacentral:tRNA from 1 species